rnacentral:rRNA from 1 species
CGACUUUCAUGACUUGACGGGCGGUGUGUACAAGGCCCGGGAACGUAUUCACCGCAGCGUUGCUGAUCUGCGAUUACUAGCGACUCCGACUUCAUGAGGUCGAGUUGCAGACCUCAAUCCGAACUGAGACCGGCUUUUUGGGAUUCGCUCCACCUUACGGUAUCGCAGCCCUUUGUACCGGCCAUUGUAGCAUGCGUGAAGCCCAAGACAUAAGGGGCAUGAUGAUUUGACGUCAUCCCCACCUUCCUCCGAGUUGACCCCGGCAGUCUCCUAUGAGUCCCCGCCAUAACGCGCUGGCAACAUAGAACGAGGGUUGCGCUCGUUGCGGGACUUAACCCAACAUCUCACGACACGAGCUGACGACAACCAUGCACCACCUGUACACCGACCACAAGGGGGCAACCAUCUCUGGCCGUUUCCGGUGUAUGUCAAGCCUUGGUAAGGUUCUUCGCGUUGCAUCGAAUUAAUCCGCAUGCUCCGCCGCUUGUGCGGGCCCCCGUCAAUUCCUUUGAGUUUUAGCCUUGCGGCCGUACUCCCCAGGCGGGGCGCUUAAUGCGUUAGCUACGACACAGAAACCGUGGAAAGGUCCCUACAUCUAGCGCCCAACGUUUACGGCGUGGACUACCAGGGUAUCUAAUCCUGUUCGCUCCCCACGCUUUUCGCUCCUCAGCGUCAGUUACGGCCCAGAGAUCUGCCUUCGCCAUCGGUGUUCCUCCUGAUAUCUGCGCAUUCCACCGCUACACCAGGAAUUCCAAUCUCCCCUACCGCACUCUAGUCUGCCCGUACCCACUGCAAGCCCGAGGUUGAGCCUCGGGAUUUCACAGCAGACGCGACAAACCGCCUACGAGCUCUUUACGCCCAAUAAUUCCGGACAACGCUCUGCACCCUACGUAUUACCGCGGCUGCUGGCACGUAGUUAGCCGGUGCUUUUUCUGCAGGUACCGUCACUUACGCUUCUUCCCUACUAAAAGAGGUUUACAACCCGAAGGCCGUCAUCCCUCACGCGGCGUUGCUGCAUCAGGCUUUCGCCCAUUGUGCAAUAUUCCCCACUGCUGCCUCCCGUAGGAGUCUGGGCCGUGUCUCAGUCCCAGUGUGGCCGGUCACCCUCUCAGGCCGGCUACCCGUCGUCGCCUUGGUGAGCCAUUACCUCACCAACAAGCUGAUAGGCCGCGAGUCCAUCCCCAACCAAAAAAUCUUUCCACCACCAGACCAUGCGGCCGGCAGUCAUAUCCAGUAUUAGACGUCGUUUCCAACGCUUAUCCCAGAGUCAGGGGCAGGUUACUCACGUGUUACUCACCCGUUCGCCACUAAUCCACCCAGCAAGCUGGGCAUCAUCGUUCGACUUGCAUGUGUUAAGCACGCCGCCAGCGUUCGUCCUGAGCAG